GAUGAACGCUGGCGGCGUGCUUAACACAUGCGAGUCGAACGAAGCAUUUAGAACAGAUUACUUCGGUUUGAAGUUCUUUAUGACUGAGUGGCGGACGGGUGAGUAACGCGUGGGUAACCUGCCUUGUACUGGGGGAUAGCAGCUGGAAACGGCUGGUAAUACCGCAUAAGCGCACAAUGUUGCAAGACAUGGUGUGAAAAACUCCGGUGGUAUAAGAUGGACCCGCGUCUGAUUAGCUAGUUGGUGAGAUAACAGCCCACCAAGGCGACGAUCAGUAGCCGACCUGAGAGGGUGACCGGCCACAUUGGGACUGAGACACGGCCCAGACUCCUACGGGAGGCAGCAGUGGGGAAUAUUGCACAAUGGAGGAAACUCUGAUGCGGCGACGCCGCGUGAGUGAAGAAGUAAUUCGUUAUGUAAAGCUCUAUCAGCAGGGAAGAUAGUGACGGUACCUGACUAAGAAGCUCCGGCUAAAUACGUG
rnacentral:rRNA from 1 species